GUCAAGGCACGUGGAGGUCGGCCCGUCAGCAAUAGCUUCUAUCGCCAAGCUAUUGGCCAGCGCAGAAGUGGACAUCUGGGACACAAUGGGGGCACCAUCAUCGGGCCCUUGCAGAAUGAGGUACUGAGUCGUCUCUGCUCCCCCAUCUUCAGCGCUGGUCACAGCUAUGCAGCCUGGGGAGGGAAAGGAGAGGACAUCACGGUACCCACCCG
rnacentral:lncRNA from 1 species